rnacentral:rRNA from 1 species
UGGGGAAUUUUGGACAAUGGGGGAAACCCUGAUCCAGCCAUCCCGCGUGUGCGAUGAAGGCCUUCGGGUUGUAAAGCACUUUUGGCAGGAAAGAAACGUCGCGGGUUAAUACCCCGCGAAACUGACGGUACCUGCAGAAUAAGCACCGGCUAACUACGUGCCAGCAGCCGCGGUAAUACGUAGGGUGCAAGCGUUAAUCGGAAUUACUGGGCGUAAAGCGUGCGCAGGCGGUUCGGAAAGAAAAGAUGUGAAAUCCCAGAGCUUAACUUUGGAACUGCAUUUUUAAACUACCGGGCUAGAGUGUGUCAGAGGGAGGUGGAAUUCCGCGUGUAGCAGUGAAAUGCGUAGAUAUGCGGAGGAACACCGAUGGCGAAGGCAGCCUCCUGGGAUAACACUGACGCUCAUGCACGAAAAGCGUGGGGAGCAAACAGGAUUAGAUACCCUGGUAGUCCACGCCCUAAAACGAUGUCAAACUAGCUGUUGGGGCCUUCGGGCCUUGGUAGCGCAGCUAACGCGUGAAGUUGACCGCCUGGGGGAGUACGGUCGCAAGAUUAAAAACUCAAAAUAG